UACGAAGGGGGCUAGCGUUGCUCGGAAUCACUGGGCGUAAAGCGCACGUAGGCGGCUUCUCAAGUCAGGGGUGAAAUCCUGGAGCUCAACUCCAGAACUGCCUUUGAUACUGAGGGGCUCGAGUCCGGGAGAGGUGAGUGGAACUGGCGAGUGUAGAGGUGAAAUUCGUAGAUAUUCGACAAGAAUCACCAGUGGCGAAGGCGGCUCACUGGCCCGAUACUGACGCUGAGGCACGAAAGCGUGGGGGAGCAAACAG
rnacentral:rRNA from 1 species